rnacentral:rRNA from 1 species
CCUACGGGAGGCAGCAGUGGGGAAUAUUGCACAAUGGGCGCAAGCCUGAUGCAGCCAUGCCGCGUGUGUGAAGAAGGCCUUCGGGUUGUAAAGCACUUUCAGCGGGGAGGAAGGCGGUGAGGUUAAUAACCUCAUCGAUUGACGUUACCCGCAGAAGAAGCACCGGCUAACUCCGUGCCAGCAGCCGCGGUAAUACGGAGGGUGCAAGCGUUAAUCGGAAUUACUGGGCGUAAAGCGCACGCAGGCGGUCGUCAAGUCGGAUGUGAAAUCCCCGGGCUCAACCUGGGAACUGCAUUCGAAACUGGCAUGCUAGAGUCUUGUAGAGGGGGGUAGAAUUCCAGGUGUAGCGGUGAAAUGCGUAGAGAUCUGGAGGAAUACCGGUGGCGAAGGCGGCCCCCUGGACAAAGACUGACGCUCAGGUGCGAAAGCGUGGGGAGCAAACAGGAUUAGAUACCCUUGUAGUC